GACGAAGGUGGCGAGCGUUGUUCGGAAUCACUGGGCAUAAAGCGCACGUAGGCGGCGACGUAAGUUGGGUGUGAAAUCCCUCGGCCCAACCGAGGAACUGCGCCCAGUACUGCGUUGCUUGAGGAUCCAAGGGGUGCAUGGAAUUCCCGGUGGAGCGGUGAAAUGCGUUGAUAUCGGGAGGAACUCCGGCGGCGAAAGCGGUGCACUGGUGGAUUACUGACGCUGAGGUGCGAAAGCCAGGGGAGCAAACGGG
rnacentral:rRNA from 1 species